CCAGUUAGUUAAUAGUAAAGCCAGGAUGACUUGAUAUCAUUAAAAUUAACAUUUAUAAUAUUUUACCAAAAUAACUAAAGAAUUAUUGUAGAACUCUUAGAACAUUUGAAUGCAUUGAAUAUGUGAAAUUAAAUCUUUCAAUAUAACUUCUUUAUGUUACUGCAGCUCUGCUUGUAUGAUCUUUAUCUCUGAAGAGUAAGUUCUUAAAAAAACUAAACUACCUAGGCCAAGAAUAAAAUGGGAGUUUUUCAUAACUCAUCCCAUUCUUUUUCUUCCUUUCUCAAAAUGUAACUAAUACUAACUUCCUGCAUCUUCUACUGGUAAAAAAGUGUUCUGAGGCAUUAGAAUUAUCUACAUGACACAUUUGCAGAAAAAUCAGGGAGUAAUUAAUUUUACAGUCCAAGUGAGGACAUUUUCAUAUAGUUGUGCUGAGCUAUACAAUGCCAAAGGCAUCGAGCCCUCAACUGUUUGACACUCAAGUGCAACAUCUGGGAACUAGGUACAAAAUGAGGUUGAAACAUUUGUUCUCUUUCUAGGAGUCAAGAAUUCUUCCAGCAUGCCUUUAGGGCUAAAUUUUCCAAUUUCUACCUACUGUAAACCUCAUUCAAAAGUUCAAGAGGAUACCACAACUCUGUGUUACUUGGCAUGCAGCCCUUGAAUCUAUUAUCCAGAGCCAUGACUCAAGACUGAACAACAAGACCAGAGGGCCAAUAUCUAAUUUUGAUACUCAAAGUUAUCUGCCACUGCGUGCUUCAGAUUGCGCUAUGACACCUCUACACAGAUGUUUCUGUUGUCGAAAGACCUCUCUCGUCCAUGUCUGCUUAAAAUCCAACAAUAAGAGCUUAAGGGAUUCAAGAAAGGAAACUUGGUGUCACAUGACACUCAAGCAAAUCUGAUGAAGAAAAGUUGCUACUCUGGCAUUGCUCAUCAAAGCAUCAGUACUCAAGCUCUGGUUCAGGCUCUGUGUUCUAGGCAACCUGGGCUAAGGAGAUGCUCCAAAGUAGAUUUUUAGAGCUGAAUUAUGGGCCAAAGCAGUCACCGGGACAAGGAGCUGAGUAUGACUGCUGCUGAUGGCUUUUUCUGGGAACACUGCUUUAUUGGCUCUGUCUUGAUUUGGGCAGUGAUAAUCAAGCCCCAGCCUGGGAAAAACUCCUUAAAGUGAGGGCCCAGAAACAGAGUUCCUCCAAGGGAUGUUAAACACCUGAUGAUGAAUGAUUCUGCAAGUGAUGCUCAGGGAUCAAAGUUUUAGCCAGAGAGGAAUGAUGGAAAAAGUGCAUGCUGGCAGAAAAAUCAGAGCUGUUUGGGUCUUGGCCACCACAUUUAUACAGAAAAAAAUCAAAGAAGUUGAAACUGCUCAUCUUGGCUGACUUUCCUACCACCUCCCACUCUUUCCAACCUUCCAAACUCACUUUUUGGAAUAUGGACACAGCUGAUUCCCUCUGAAAGAUUGAAGAGAUGGCUACAUGUGUCUUGCAGAUGGAAUAAAAAGAGGGUCUGGCAUUUCUGGAAAUAGAUGAUAUUCUACUAAUAACUCCUUGAAAGAAAUCUCACAAAGCAAGAAAAAGAGAAGGAACAUUAUAAUACAUUUGUUAUUGUAAGUGGCUCUAGGCCUGUGAAAUCAUCUGUAUUAUUUGCAUGGAUUCUAAUGAAUUGGUAUACAUUUUCAGCAAUAUCAGGACUCAUCCCUCCGAUGUAGAAUAAGCAACAUUACAUACUUUCGGUCAGUAUGAACAGAAGUCAACAUAUUUGUCCUCCACUGUGUUAUCGUGCAUUUUAUUCUCAGAAUGAGAUGUGAAGCCAAUGCAAUAUUAAUGGUAGUGGCACCGACUAACUUGUCAGUUACUUGUUUAUCUAUUUUCAUCUGGAAGACCUGUGCUAACUUAUAAGUAUAUAGUAGUUAAUAAGCAGCCCUAGGUCUUUGCCCUCAAAGAACCUAGGAAUCCUGGAUGAGUUUCAUAAGCUCUCUGGACAUCUGUCAACAAAGGAGUUGAACUAGGUAGUUUUGAAUGUACCUUCAAGCUCUAAAAUGGAAUGCUCCUAAUCUCAGCCAUUGGCAUAGAAAGGAGAUGAGGACUGUGGUUUCCAUACUUGCUCCCAGUUUUUGUUUUUCCAUGAAUAUUAGGAUGCUGAAGGAGAGACUUCAAUAAAAGUAGAAGAAGUACUUCUUUUCACACAGAAAGAACUACUGGAAAGAGAAUAAGAGAGAAAAAAAGAAGGAAGAAAUCCUAACUCAUAGGAUUUUGAAACCUGUGGCUUCUAUUUGGAAAGCUUUGAAAAUCAGAAACAUAUUACUCGGUAUCCACCUUCAUGUUGCCUUCAACUAAUAUUAAUCCCAUGUUCUAUUUGCAUAACUCUGUUCUUUUAAGUGAUGAUUAAGGAGUUCAUGAAUAACCACUAGGGGACUUCCUGAAUUUCAAGCCCUGCUGAAGUGUUUUACUUGCAUGAAUCCCCACAAUCACCUUAGGAGGUAGAUACUAUAAUUACCCUCUAUUUCCAGAAGAGAAUCAAAAAAGUCAAAUAACUUCUCCAAGGGCAUAUAGUUAGCAAGAGUCAGGCCCAGGAUUUGAAUGUAAUGUCUGGCAUCACUGCUUCAUACUGCCUCAGUCAUCCAUUACCUGACUGAACCACUACUUCCAUUGCUUUAUGAUUUUUCAUUACUGUUUAUUAGAAAAUGGUAUUCAUGAAAACUUCUUAUAUAGUCUCUUUUCAUCAGACACUGAUGAAUGACCAGUUAAGAUCUUGUCUUUCCUUCCUUUCUGUCAUUAGAAGAAAAAGAUAAAUAAUCAUGAUUUCGGUUUGCUCUUGUUUUAGUUUCUUAUGGCUGAUGCAACAAAUUACUAUACACUAGUGGCUUAAAAUAACAAAAAUCUAUUCUGUCUCAGUUCUGAAAGCCAGAAUUCCAAAACCAAGGUGUUGGCUGGGUUAAUUCUUUCUAAAGACUGAAGGAAAAUCCAUCCCAUGCCUCUCUCCUAGUAUCUGGUGGCUGUCAGGAAUUUUUGAUGUUCUAUGACUUGUAGAUGCCUCACUUAAAUCUCUGCCUCCAUGUGCAUAUGACCUUCUCCCAAGUGACCUCUGUGUCCCAAAACUGCUUCUUCUUUCUCUUAUGAGUCCACUUAUUAAAGUUAGGCCCUACCUUAAAUCCAGGAUGAUCUCAUCCCAAGAUCUUUAACUUAGUUACAUCUGCAAAGACCCUGUUUCCAAAUAAAGUGACAUUCACAGGUACUAGAGAUCAGGACUUGGAAGUAUCUUCUAGAGGGACUCUAUUCAACCCGUUAUAGCUCUAUUGAUUGAAACAAUUUAAUGGUCAAGAUAUUUUCUUCAUGAUGUCAAUCAAUGCCUGUCUCAUUCUGCUUAAUUCACUAAUUCAGCAAAUAUUGAUUGAAAACUUCAACUAUGGCCAGGUUACAGCAAAUAAGAAGACAAAUUCCCUGUGCUAUUAGAGGUGGGAUUGUGAUUGGGAGGGAGGUGGGAGGAGAGACACAACAGACAAGACCAGUAACUAGUAAAUAAACAAGACCAUUUCAGAGAAUGAAAAGUAACUUAUGAAUCCUAAGUAUCCCCUUAAACAUCAGUUAUAGCUCUAGAUACUGCCAAAAAACUGUAUGACUUUUUUUAUUAAAUCAAAUUCUAUUUUGAGUAUCAUUUCUGUUGCAUAAAAUCAUUCUUGGUAUGAUAAAGUUGUCAAAAGAAACUAUAGACUUCUUUGUCAUUACUCAUCUAACAUGUCAGAAAAGUACUCAUUCAUGAAAGGAAUAGCAUACUAGAUUAUCUGAUUUCCCUCAGGAAUUGGAGGAAAUUGAAUUGGGGAAAAAUAACUAAAGCAUCAAUUCACCAAGCAUCAAUUUCCCUAAUUCCCAAGCAGUACAACAUUGUAAGAUUACUACCAAAAAUGUCCUCAGGGAUCUUUCUCUAUAGGAACAUACAAUUUUUUGAAAAAAUUCAACCCACUGUAACUGGUCAUAUUUUAUUCAUUAAUUAUAAUUGCAAAAUUUUUGCAGAAUAUAUUGGCAAAUGGCUUAAAACUUGUUAUUCAGGAAGUAAUUCAUUGAGUCUAAGAUGACAUCUUAAAACUCAGUUUAAGUUCAAAUGACACCAGAACCUUAACAUUAGUCUCUCCAAAGCACCUGUCUAAGGACAACCUUAUCUCAUGGCUGUAUAACCACUGGGUACAAGAAAAACCUUUGGUGAUGUUUUGUAAAUUACUGAGAACUUGUUCUGGUGUACUUUUUGGAUUUGUGGUUAUUAUAUGUCCAUUUUCUUUCCCCACAAAUUAUAUUUCUUUUGUUCAAUUUCGGUAAUUGGGUACAAGCAGAUGGAGUUAUUUUACUUUAGUUCAUGAACCCUUUUAUGGUGCUAAAAAUUAAAAAAGCUCCAAUGUUCAUUCUAACUUGAAAUACGAAUUCAAGUGAGAGCCUAGUUUAUUCUGAGAUAGAGGUUUGGCUGUGCUUAUGGUUAAACCAGUACUUGUUUCAGCAAACAGUUCAACUCCACACCUUGUUGAUUUGCUGGAGAACUCAUUCUUAGUUACCUGGUCAGAAAAGAGAAAGGUUGUGAUCUGUCCUUUCAUUAGGAGUUUAGACAUCCCCUCUGUCCAUAGGUAGUGAGGAAAUGAUUUUUUGGAAGUCUCUUAGUGAUAAGUUUUACAAAAACUAUUUCGUAAGGUGCUACCAUUCCAGUUUUUUUUUUUAACUGAAUUAACAAAAGAAGGUAAAAGAAACAGUAAGGAGUAAAAAUGUAAAAAAUAGUAGAAUACAAAACAGGGGGAUGGAAUUAACUCAAACAACUAUGUUUAAUGACUUUGUGCUGCUAUUCCUUUGCCCAACAAUAAGAUAUGAUGUCUAUAAAGUUGUGAUGCUGGUAAAUUUGUCGAGGUCUACCUCUUCCAAAACUUUUAUCUCUAUUCAUUGGACCUCUGAAGAGUGCCUGCUGUGUGCUAGGUGCUGUAGUACAUACUUGGUGGGUGGAGGUGGACUAAACACAUAAAAGGACUUGGGUGGCAGACGUUAAACAAGAAUAUGCAUGAACAAAUUUGCAAAUAAAUACUUUCAUAUAGUGCUAAAUGCUGUGAAGCAAUAAAUAGAUUGAAAUGAUGAACAUUAACCAGAGAUAUUUAGAUAAGGUAUUAAAGAAAUAUUUUCCUGAGAAGAAGUCAUUUAAGCUAAGUGCCAAGUGCGUAGGCUAAGUGCCAACUCAAUUUAUACAUUAGAAGUUCAACUGGACUCUCACAUAACUAGUCAGGAUUAGGGGUUAUUAACCUACGACCUCAGAACUGAAAGAGGGUAGAUUUGGUGUCUUAUAGCAGGAUUAACUGUGUGAUUUAUAUAUAAUCUAAAUAAAUAAAUAAAUAAAUAUCAUCAUUUACUAAGUAGACUGUUUCUAUGGAAUGGAUUGUAAUGGCUUUCCAUCUGGGUUCACUCACAUUAUAUGCCUUUGAUCUACUCCGUUUUGCCUUCCUGAUCAGAGGAAUUCUAACUAGAUUGGAAAUCUUGCACUUUUUAAACUUUGAGAGUUAAUCCGUUGAUCCAUGUGUUAAAUUACACCACUUAGACCAAAUCUUUUGUGAGGGGAAUUUUCAAGAGUUAUGAAAGCAUUAGUGGACUGAAUGUACUGCUUUGAGGUGUUCAUCUAGUACAAAAUGCUCCUUUGUGAAACCUUUAAUCAUUCUCAGUAUACUCUAGUAUUGUUCCUCAAUUUUCUUAUCUGUAUCACGGGUAUGAUGAGACUAUAUACUUAAUAUUAUGCUAUAAACUGUUAACUGCAUUUCUAAGAACUCUUGAGUUGAUAUAUAACAAUUAAGCAAUUAUUUCAAUGUAAAAACAGGGGAAUUAUAAAUGUAGUUUUAGCCUUGUAGUUGCAUGUUAUUUUUCUUAUAGGAAUUCCAUUAAUAAUUUAACAGCUAAUAAUGCACAGCUAAAAAUCAAAGCAACACUGAACAGGACAUAUAACUUUUUCUUCCCUUUCUCUACCACCUCCAACACUAUUGUUGGCACAUUGUUUCUUAUACAUUCUAAUUACUUGCACAGGUAUAAUCCUGGCCAACAUUUACUAAGCACCCACUAUGUGCCAAGCAUCACUGUAAGUACAUUACAAAUAUUUUCUCAUUUAAUCUUCACAGUGACCCCAUGGAUAGGCAUCUAUUAACCUCAUUUUCCAGACAUGGACAUUAAAGCAUAGGGUGGUUAAGUAUCUUGCCUAAGUUCACAAAAUUGGCAAGUGUGACUAUGGAACAUAAAAGUCUAACCUCUCUCGAUUGCAACCCCUAUGCUCAUUUCUGGUUCCUGAUCGAAGUAUGGGAAUCUCCUUAUAAUUGAUUAAGGCAAGGCUAUCAGUGCAAAGCAAAGAAUGUUUCCUCAACAGCUCAGUCCUAUUGUAUCUGUUUGCUCUAUGAGAAACAGACUGGGAAAAAGUCCUGUUUAAAAAGAAUAUCAUUAUUGUUAAUAAGUUACAUUUGUAAGGUUUUUUUUCAUUUAAACUUACUUAUAAAAGGACCUGACCUUUCUGAUAGGUAUUUUUAGUAGGAAAACUUCAGAGUGGAAUUGGGUGGUAUAGAUGGUACUUAAAGGCACAGGCAAUAUGGAUGAAAAGGGCCUAUAGACAAGCCAGAAGAGGCCUUACUCAUUUAUACUUAAAUAAAUCCAUAUGACUUAAAAUAUGACUCUAAUUAGAUGAAUUAUUAUUCCUAAUUCUGAUAUGUUAAAAGGGAUUACCCUGAAACAUUCAUCAUGCACAGCCAUGCACACCACCAAGGAUGGUUUGGAUUCUGGCAGCUUAACUAUGAAAUUCCUCCUCCUUUUAAGAUUGUAUGCCCCUGUUACAGAGUUUAAAAUACAUGAUGAAAGGAAAAUGCCACAUAUUUCUUAUACAAUUUAAAAAAUAUGCCUCUAAAUGUUCUGCCAAUAAAGCUUGCAUUAGGUGCUUCUCUGUUCAUAAUAUAAAAUACCCACCUGGAGAUCAGAAACCAUUUUAACACAUUGGAAGUUUUCUUUUCCUAGCCCCUUGAAAAAUUGAGUUCUGCUGUGUCAACUUGGCUAAGUCUGCCCUGGGCUACUCUUAAUGAUGGAAUUCCUAGAAUAAACACCAAGGAUGAUGAAAGAUGAGAGAACAGAGGCUUAGAUAAGUGAAUUAACUUGUCCAGAUCAUAUAAAUGGAGAGAAGAUGGGCGCAAAAUCCUUCAGAACACUAACUGCUCCCUUUCUCAGACACUUUUGGACUCCCCUUCAGGGAAACAUGUGAAUAAGUGCUUAGAGAAUGAAUGAGAAAUUUCACAAAAGAAGCGCUGGCCAGGUUGCUAUAGCCAGGCUCCCAGCCCACACAUAAAUCUGACCCUAAGUUCAUUCUGUUUUCAAUAGACAUAUUUUAGAAUAUUAUGGAAUUACUAAUAUAUGCACUGAACACUGUGCACAAAGCAAGACACUGGGAUUGUCUGACUGAAGGGUGUGAAAAAAUGAAGAAGGUACUACUUCCAAGCGCUUAUAAGCAAAAUGUGAAGUUGCUUAACAAGUGUCUGGUAUUUAGAAAGCAUUCGACAAAUGUGUGUUAAUUAUAUUUAAAAAAAAAGCUGAGAUUGUUAAUAAGGCAAUCAUGAGAGAAUAGUGAGGAUUUGAAAGCAUUGGUCAAGGCUUCCAAAGUAGAUAGGAAUUACUCUGAUUAAAACAUCA